rnacentral:other from 1 species
AUUUGCCUGGGAUGUUCGACAACUUCUACUGUUUUGAACCUACAUUACUUUAAACGGGAUUCUUAUAUUGCCAAUUGGAUGUCAGGCCCCCAUUUGUCAGGGGAAGGCAGAAGAGCGGUUGCGGUUACCCACCUAGCUUCGCUAGGAGUCAAAAGGUAGGAACCGGCAUUUUGGGUAUUAA